UCCGUAGGGUGCAAGCGUUGUCCGGAAUUAUUGGGCGUAAAGAGCUCGUAGGCGGUCUGUCGCGUCUGCUGUGAAAACUCGGGGCUUAACCCCGGGCCUGCAGUGGGUACGGGCAGACUAGAGUGCGGUAGGGGAGACUGGAAUUCCUGGUGUAGCGGUGAAAUGCGCAGAUAUCAGGAGGAACACCGGUGGCGAAGGCGGGUCUCUGGGCCGUAACUGACGCUGAGGAGCGAAAGCAUGGGGAGCGAACAGG
rnacentral:rRNA from 1 species